GCUCCGCGCCCGUCCCCGCCGCCAGCCCCGGCUGAAGCUCCCGGGAAGCCGACCGAAAGCCAGCAAACCCUCACUCCGGGGCGCUCGCCCCUAUUUACCUCCAAGGCGCCGAGGCCACCUUCGCAAGUGGAAGGGAACCCGCCGCGAACCGGGCACCGCCGCGGCCUGGCAGCGGGGCAUCCCCACUGCGGGCCGGGCCCGGCCCGGCUCCCACCGCCCCAGCGGGGAGCGGGGGAAGGCGGCGCCUUUUUACCUCAGGUUUUGGCGGGGGAAGCGGCGCCGACCCCACCCGGGGAGCCCCGUCACCCUCCCCGCGCCGCCGGCCGGAGGCACCGCGGCGGUCCCGGCGCUGUGAGCGGGCGGCACCGCCCCGCCGCUCCCCCGACCCGGACCCCGUACCUGCGCCCGCGGUGCCCGCCGGUGGCUCGCCGUCCAUCGCGGCAGCAGUCAUGUGAGGCCGCGGCCCCGCGGCCGCCCUCCCCUUCCUCCGCAGCGCCCGCCUGUCAGCGCGGGCGGAGCGGGCGGGGUGCGGCCGCCUCCCGGGGACGGCGCGGACGGGGCUGCGCUUGUGGUCACGGUGCCGGGGUGGGCUCGGGCCGGGGGACGUGACAAACGGCAGCGCCAGUGACAGCGCCUCACGGUAACGUCCCCGGGGAGGCCGCUCACCGCAACUCCCGGCGGCUCUGGGGGCUCAAGGCUGCUUCCUCCCGCUCGGAGAGGCAACGAGCCGUCCCUGCUGUGGAGCGGGCUGCUCGGAGCGCUCCUAAACCGCUUCGGGUUCGUAAUAAACGUUUCAAACAUCGUAAAGCAUGGGAAAAGAUGUGACCCGCUCAUGGGCUUAAUACGGACUUUAUUCUGAAAUCAAAUUGAUUUUUUUCCCCAACUGAAAAGUGGAAAGGGUGGUUGUUGGGAACAUGAACUGCAGGCGGAUUUCAUUGUGCACUAUGAAAAGUGGAUAAAUUGUUGGAAGAGGUGGUAAGACAGUCCUUCCAUCACCUGGUGAUGGAUGGGAGGCCAUCCUUUGUAUGUCAAAGUCAGAUGAGAUAGUCCAAGAUAAUUUUCCUUCACUGAGUAACCUUUUCCCACCUUGAAUUUCUGCUGCCAUCUCAUCAAUCAAUCAGGGUGUUUCCUAUACUCAAUAUUUUUGAUAUUCUGGAUCUCAUUUAGAUAUAUGAAAUAUUCUUGAUAAGUUAAAAGUAGAUAUUCGAUGUUUCUCCAAAGGAAAAACCAUUGUAGCAUUUUUUACAAGGCUCCGUAGGGACAGGACAAGGUGAAAUGGGUUUAAACUGAAAAAGGGUAGAUUUAUAUGAGAUAUAAGGAAGAAAUACUUUUACUAUGAGGGUGCUGAGGGGCUGGCACAGGGUGCCCAGAGAAGCUGUGGCUGCCCCAUCCCUGGCAGUGUUCAAGGCCAGGUUGGACACAGGGGCUUGGAGCAACCUGCUCUAGUGGAAGGUGUCCCUGCGCAUGGCAGGGGGGCUGGAGCUGGGUGAGCUUUAAGGUCGUUUUCAACCCAAA
rnacentral:lncRNA from 1 species